GAUGAACGCUGGCGGCGUGCUUAACACAUGCAAGUCGAACGAAGAUGCCGGAGUGCUUGCACUUUGGCAGACUGAGUGGCGGACGGGUGAGUAACGCGUGGGUAACCUGCCUUAUACAGGGGGAUAACAGUUGGAAACGACUGCUAAUACCGCAUAAGCGCACGGUAUCGCAUGAUACAGUGUGAAAAACUCCGGUGGUAUAAGAUGGACCCGCGUCUGAUUAGCUUGUUGGUGAGGUAACGGCCCACCAAGGCGACGAUCAGUAGCCGGCCUGAGAGGGUGAACGGCCACAUUGGGACCGAGACACGGCCCAAACUCCUACGGGAGGCAGCAGUGGGGAAUAUUGCACAAUGGGGGAAACCCGUACGAUGCAGCGACGCCGCGUGAGUGA
rnacentral:rRNA from 1 species